rnacentral:rRNA from 1 species
UACAGAGGGUGCAAGCGUUGUUCGGAAUUAUUGGGCGUAAAGGGAGUGUAGGCGGUUUGUUAAGUCUUCUGUGAAAUCUACGGGCUUACCCUGUAAAGUGCAGAGGAAACUAGCAGGCUUGAGUGUCGGAGAGGAUAGGGGAAUUCCCGGUGUAGAGGUGAAAUUCGUAGAGAUCGGGAGGAACACCAGUGGCGAAAGCGGCUCUCUGGUCCAAAACUGACGCUGAGGGGCGAAAGCGUGGGGAGCGAACGGG